UAAGUGGCAAUCUCGGUAGUUAGAGUAGCAAAAUUCACUAAUUUUUGUAUGUGUAAGAGAGAGAUACAAUGAACCGUUCAAAAAUCGCCGCCAUGGCCGCUGUUCAUUUGACAAAACAAAAUUUUAAGUGAAUGGAUAUAAUUAUACAUGUGUGCACAGCAAAGGAGGAGCAAGGAGGUGACGAUGAAAUUGGUGGAGGUUUAUGGAUUUAUAAUUGGUGCAAUAUAUAACAACAACAACGCAGAAAACAAUGGAAAAUAACAUGAUAUUGACAGACAGGUCCUUCUCCACCUGGUCCUUCCAUCGGAGUGGAGGUCUCCCUCUUCCUCGGCUUCCACCAGCGGGUACCGCAUUGAAAACUUUCAGAGCUGAGGCACUUUCGUCCAUUCGAACAACAUGGCCAAGCCCGCGUAGCCGCUGUUUUUUAUUCGCUGGACUAUGCCUAUGUCGUCGAACAACACAUACAGCUCAUCAUUUCAUCUUCUGCGGUAUUCGCCGUUGCCAAUGUUUAAGGGAUCAUAAAUCUUCCGCAAAACCUUUCUCUCGAAAACUCCUAGUGCCGUCUUAUCGGAUGUUGACACCGUCCACGCUUCUGCACCAUACAGUAGGACGGGAAUGAUGAGGGACUUGUAGAGUUUAGUUUUUGUUCAUCGAGAGAGGACUUUACUUUUCAAUUGCCUACUCAGUCCAUAAACACAAAUACUUUGCACAAAUGGAGGAUUACAAUAGCUACAACUUUUCUUAGGCAUGAUAAACAAGACAACAACAAAUCCCAUCGUACAUUUAGAUUAGCAGUUGUCCAACCUCUUUCCGACGAGCUUAACCCUUUUAUGAUGUACAUAUGAGAUAGGAUUGUGUGGAAUUGACAUCAAACAAUAUUGGUUGAGUAGUUUCGUUGGAACCUUACAGAAUAGUUGUAAGGAAAUCGUUCGCGUUUAGUACUAAUGUAUUCAUUUUGAAUUAUGAAUUGAUAUAAAUUAUGAAUUAGAUUUAAAUGUAAAAUAUUGUUAAAUUAAACGAAUUUUCGAAUACUAAUAACAGUCGUAAUAGUAGUUGAAUUUUAUUUGUAUUGUAUAACAACAACUACAAAAAAUAAAAAUUUAAUAAUUAAUACUAACUUUAUUUGUAAAAUAUAUAAAUUUUGUCUAUGUAUAAAUGAUAGCUGCAAAAACGUUUGUAAAA